UCUUAAGGCCAUACCACCCUGGGCAUGCCCAAUCUCAUCUAAUGUCUGAAGAUAAGCAGGGUCGGCAGUGGUUAAUACUUGGAUGGGCCCCAGAUCAAAUCAAUGGGGUUUACAGU
rnacentral:rRNA from 1 species